rnacentral:rRNA from 1 species
ACGUAGGGUGCGAGCGUUAAUCGGAAUUACUGGGCGUAAAGCGUGCGCAGGCGGUUCGUUGUGUCUGAUGUGAAAGCCCCGGGCUCAACCUGGGAAUGGCAUUGGAAACUGGCGAGCUAGAGUGUGGCAGAGGGGGGUGGAAUUCCGCGUGUAGCAGUGAAAUGCGUAGAGAUGCGGAGGAACACCGAUGGCGAAGGCAGCCCCCUGGGCUGACACUGACGCUCAGGCACGAAAGCGUGGGGAGCAAACAGGA